rnacentral:tRNA from 1 species
GCCUCUGUAGCUCAAUGGAAGAGCGGGUCCGUCCUAAGGAUAAGGUUGGGGGUUCGAGUCCCUCCAGGGGCACCA